UGGAUCUGCCUCUCCACACAAAAAAAUAUCAACUAUUGUGAGUGUUUCAAUUGCGGGAACAUGAUGUAUUGUUUCUUUGUAGCAAUGAGCUUAGUAAUUGUAAUGAGUACGUAUUAAUUCCCCAAUGAACGUCAAAUAUUUAGAUUUACCCCUUAAUUAAAAUGUGUACUUGAAUGCUUAUCUCCUCUGCUAUGUUACCUCUACUGUGAACAAUUAGGAUUUUUUUUUCUUUUUUUUAAAGACACUCACUUCCAUAAGCUAAUUGUUUUCUCUUUUUUUCAGGGAGACUUUAUCAGAACUGGCCACUAAUUAACAGAAAUCACAGUAACUAUUGCAUAGGUAGCUUGUUAAUUAAUGGUCUAAGAUGCAAUUAAAUUUCAGAUGCACAUCCUAAUUUAUUAACCAACUUCUCUUAAUCCUGUGUAAUUUCAGAGGGAUCUUGUUAAAUCAAAAAGCGGAGUGAUCAGAGUGGCAAAGUGCUAAUUAAGCUCUGAAUGGGGGGCUGCAUCAACAGAGCACAGGGAUGAUCCUUCGCUGUCUGUUUACAUCGCUGCGGUGCAUUCUGGGAGGUCACCCCACAACCUGAGGCAGGCGUACUAUUCUGGUGCUCCCGGGAAAAAAAAUGUGUGGAGGGGCAGAGGAUCAGACAGACAGGAGUAACCAAGACUCAUUUCUACACAGAUGGACAUGUAUAAAGAGCACAAAUGGAGAAUUUUGAAGCAUCUUCAGACAGCUUUUUUCUAUACAACGGUGAUCAAAAGUGUUUUUUACGGUGAGUUUUCUUCAUACGUGUGUCAUAUUUCAUAUUCUUCUCUCUGACACUUGUCUCCUUGGUAACUAAGUACACUAGCGUCUAAAAAAAAAUGAAUUUAUUUAAAAAUCACCACACCUGAGGGACAGCCAUAAUUUGUGUUAAUGUAUAUAAAUCUAAAUAUUGAAGUUGAUGAUUUUUUAUUUCACUCUUUAUUUAGAUCAUCAUAGUUUAAACUACAUAGUUUUAAUUAAUACAUUUUUUUCUAAUGGAUUUUUUAUAGUUUAAGAUUAGUUAAGUAUUUUUAGUAUGUUUUUAUAAUAUAGUUAAAGAUUGGAAUUCUGGGACAAGGCUAAAACAAUUAAAUCAUAUAUUAUUGUUUAAUAUUUCUUGUAUUUGGAUUUUAAAAUUCAAAAUUGUAACCUUAUAUUUCACAAAAUUUAAAUGAAGGCAAACUAAAAAGCUUUUAUGCCCUGUAUACUUCUUAUCAUGAAUUCAUAAUUUAUUACUGCUAAUGUAUAGUUUUACUUUUUCAGUUUUAUUGUUUUACCCUUGUCCCUGACUUUCACUCUUAAGUAUAACAAGCCAUUAUAAAAAUAUGAAUUAAUAAAUGUUUAAAACUAAGAUGAUCUGAACA
ensembl:lncRNA